AUGGUACGUCAUUAAAGAAUAAUAACGUUCAUCGAGUGUAGGUCAUUGUAUACCAUAUAGGUUGGUUAUCUUCUUAACCAAGGAGUGUGAAGAUACUGGUAUGACAUACAGAUAAGAUGUAGGAGUACAUCAUCACUGAACAAGUAAUUCACCUACAGAGCACUCUGUUGUCAAGAGCAGCUUGUGAAGCAUAUGGACAUAAGUAUCUCUCAAACCUGAGAUCACUAUAGUAACUUACAAGCAACUCACUGUGCUUUGAUACUAGACUACUAUAUUUCUAAUACAAUGAUGAAAGGCUAUUGAGUACAAUCAAAUACUUACGAAGUCUGUGUAUGGAUCAAGAUGGGAUUAAUUCCUCUAGAUUAUAGGAGUUAAUGCAUCAUUGUAUUUUAAUUAAGUAAACCCUGGGCUCGGAUAAUCCAUAUGAUGGGUGUGAAAGGUUGAAAUACUAUGUGGAUGACUCAUUCAGGGUUGAUAGUUAAAUCCU
rnacentral:lncRNA from 1 species